UACGGAGGGUGCGAGCGUUGUCCGGAAUCACUGGGCGUAAAGGCGCGUAGGCGGCCUGAUAAGUAGGGGGUGAAAUCCUGCGGCUUAACCGCAGGGCUGCCUUCUAAACUGUCAGGCUAGAGCACAGUAGAGGCAGGUGGAAUUCCCGGUGUAGCGGUGGAAUGCGUAGAGAUCGGGAAGAACAUCAGUGGCGAAGGCGGCCUGCUGGGCUGUUGCUGACGCUGAGGCGCGACAGCGUGAGGAGCAAACAGG
rnacentral:rRNA from 1 species